rnacentral:miRNA from 1 species
GACGUCGAAUAUCGACGUCAUAAACACCAAAGUUGUUCGUGUUUAUGACGUCGAAUAUCGACGUCAUAAACACCAAAUUCGUUCGUGUUUAUGACGUCGAAUAUCGACGUCAUAAACACCAAAUUUGUUUUGUGUUUAUGACGUCGAAUAUCGACGACAUAAACACCAAAUUCUUUCGUGUUUAUGACGUCGAAUAUCGACGUCAUAAACACCAAAGUUGUUCGUGUUUAUGACGUCGAAUAUCGACGUCAUAAACACCAAAGUUGUUCGUGUUUAUGACGUCGAAUAUCGACGUC